CCUACGGAUGGCAGCAGUGGGGAAUAUUGGACAAUGGGGGGAACCCUGAUCCAGCCAUGCCGCGUGUGUGAAGAAGGCCCUCGGGUUGUAAAGCACUUUCAGUGAGGAAGAACGCCUGGUGGUUAAUACCCAUCAGGAAAGACAUCACUCACAGAAGAAGCACCGGCUAACUCCGUGCCAGCAGCCGCGGUAAUACGGAGGGUGCGAGCGUUAAUCGGAAUUACUGGGCGUAAAGCGCGCGUAGGUGGCUUGAUAAGCCGGUUGUGAAAGCCCCGGGCUCAACCUGGGAACGGCAUCCGGAACUGUCAAGCUAGAGUGCAGGAGAGGAAGGUAGAAUUCCCGGUGUAGCGGUGAAAUGCGUAGAGAUCGGGAGGAAUACCAGUGGCGAAGGCGGCCUUCUGGACUGACACUGACACUGAGGUGCGAAAGCGUGGGUAGCAAACAGGAUUAGAUACCCCUGUAGUC
rnacentral:rRNA from 1 species